rnacentral:tRNA from 18 species
AGCGGGGUAGAGCAGUUUGGUAGCUCGCAAGGCUCAUAACCUUGAGGUCACGGGUUCAAAUCCUGUCUCCGCAA